ensembl:snoRNA
UGCCUUUGUGUUGCCCAUUCAUUCACUUCCAGAAUGAAUGUGGUGUCAAAAAAGGCAAACAACAAUUCUUGCUAAAACUGUUUUAAGGAGUUGGUUUAUUUACCUUUCUCCUYCCUGGUUUUGCAAGGACAGAA